rnacentral:rRNA from 1 species
CCUACGGGAUGCUGCAGUGGGGAAUAUUGGGCAAUGGGCGCAAGCCUGACCCAGCAACGCCGCGUGAAGGAAGAAGGCUUUCGGGUUGUAAACUUCUUUUAAGAGGGAAGAGCAGAAGACGGUACCUCUUGAAUAAGCCACGGCUAACUACGUGCCAGCAGCCGCGGUAAUACGUAGGUGGCAAGCGUUGUCCGGAUUCACUGGGUGUAAAGGGCGUGUAGCCGGGCUGACAAGUCAGAUGUGAAAUCCCGUGGCUCAACCACGGAACUGCAGUUGAAACUGUCGGUCUUGAGUAUCGGAGAGGCAGGCGGAAUUCCUAGUGUAGCGGUGAAAUGCGUAGAUAGUAGGAGGAACACCAGUGGCGAAGGCGGCCUGCUGGACGACAACUGACGGUGAGGCGCGAAAGCGUGGGGAGCAAACAGGAUUAGAUACCCCAGUAGUC